rnacentral:lncRNA from 1 species
UGAUUUACAAGUUCAACAUGCAAUUCAUGGUUUGUUUGAAUAUCAAAUCAAACUCCAAAAUCCAUAUAUUUUAUCUUAUUCCAUCCUAUUAAUUAUUUUGCCACUUUGUGGCUAAUAACAGAUUAUUUAUUUUCUAUCAUUAAAAAGCAUACUUAGAUUAAGAGGAUAACGAGUGAAUGGGUGAAACCAGUAAACAAAAUAUGUACUGCUAACAUGGAAGAAGGUUGCAUCAAAAAAGCCACUGAAGGUAUCAGCGGAAAAUACCUAUUUUUCAGAGAUGUGCUUACAGAACCUAUGGUUUGGGAAGCACUUGCUGAAAGUUUGCAGAAGGCAGAAUUAGACUCCUAUGGAGAAGUUAUACAGAAGAUGUUGUAUCACCCAGUCAGGAUCAUAAAUAUAUGUGAAGACAAGGGAAAUAUGGAAAGGUUAAAACCAUUUUGGAACUUUUCAUUUAUGCCAGUAACAAUUUUCAGGAAGGGUAAACACAAGUUGAGUAAUAACAAGAGAUGAACUAUUACAAAAUUAGAUACAAACACAGAGCAUUACCAGCAUGUUUUUUUGCUGUCUGCAUUUAAUAUAUAUUGAGC